UGAAACUUCGGUCGAUUUAAUUUAAUUCUAGUGGCGGACGGGUGAGUAACGCGUGGGUAACCUGCCUUAUACAGGGGGAUAACAGUCAGAAAUGGCUGCUAAUACCGCAUAAGCGCACAGAGCUGCAUGGCUCGGUGUGAAAAACUCCGGUGGUAUAAGAUGGACCCGCGUUGGAUUAGCUUGUUGGUGGGGUAACGGCCCACCAAGGCGACGAUCCAUAGCCGGCCUGAGAGGGUGAACGGCCACAUUGGGACUGAGACACGGCCCAGACUCCUACGGGAGGCAGCAGUGGGGAAUAUUGCACAAUGGGGGAAACCCUGAUGCAGCGACGCCGCGUGAAGGAAGAAGUAUCUCGGUAUGUAAACUUCUAUCAGCAGGGAAGAUAGUGACGGUACCUGACUAAGAAGCCCCGGCUAACUACGUGCCAGCAGCCGCGGUAAUACGUAGGGGGCAAGCGUUAUCCGGAUUUACUGGGUGUAAAGGGAGCGUAGACGGUGUGGCAAGUCUGAUGUGAAAGGCAUGGGCUCAACCUGUGGACUGCAUUGGAAACUGUCAUGCUUGAGUGCCGGAGGGGUAAGCGGAAUUCCUAGUGUAGCGGUGAAAUGCGUAGAUAUUAGGAGGAACACCAGUGGCGAAGGCGGCUUACU
rnacentral:rRNA from 1 species